rnacentral:lncRNA from 1 species
UCAACUUGAUUGGUGGCUGUUGCAGGUUCAUACGUGAGUGGUUACGUAGUGGGUAGUUAAACUGACAAUGACCAGCUGAAUUUUGGUGACAGGACUGCUCCUAAGGUUUGAAAUGUAGCGUAUCCUCUGAUUCACGGGCUAAGCUCUGCCACUUAGCAGGAGGAGCUCAUGAUAGAGCAGGUUGAGGGGAAAACUUUGCCCCAUAAGGGUUCUUCACUGCAAGUGAGAAGGUCUUGGCUUUGAGCCUCCAAUUUCAAUCAGACAGAAAGCAGACCAGUCGGCAGGACAGUAUAUGCCUCUGGAGAUCCGUGCUGAUGUGGGGGCCUCAGAUACAAGAUGCCUCAGGGCCCAGGCGUGACCCUCUCCUUCCCUCCUGCACGGAGAUGCUGUGAGAAUUAGACACUCCCACAGGGCCCUGUCAGACACUGAGCUAGCCUCUGGGAACCGGAAGAUAUUCAAAACACCAGCCACCCCCCACACACACAGACAAGGCGCUGGAGGGACAGCUGUGCAGCGGCAGAGCAUGAGAGGUCUUGAUCAGUUAACUCAGUGAGGUUAGGAGGCGAAUUUUUUUUUUUUUGAGAUGGAGUCUUACUUUGUCACCCAGUCAGGAGUGCAGUGGCGUGAUCUCGGCUCACUGCAACCUCCGCCUCCUGGCCUCAAGUGAUUCUUCCGCCUCAGCCUCCCGAGUAGCUGGGACUACAGGUGCGUGCCACCACACCCAGCUAAUUUUUGUAUUUUUGGUAGAGACAGUGUUUCACCACGUUGGACAGGCUGGUCUCAAUCUCUUGACCUCGUUAUCUGCCUGCCCUGGCCUCCCAAAGUGCUGGGAUUAUAGGUGUGAGCCACAAAGCCUUUUUGUUUUCAUUUUUGAGAUGGAGUCUCGCUCUGUCGCCCAGGCUGGAGUGCAGUGGCAUGAUCUCAGCUCACUGCAACCUCUGCAUCCCAGUUCAAGCAGUUCUCCGCCUCGGCCUCCUGAGUAGCUGGGAUCACAGGUGCCCGCCACCACACUUGGCUAAUUUUUUGUAUUUUUAGUAGAGAUGAGGUUUCACCGUGGUGGCCAGGCUGGUCUCAAACUCCUGACCUCAAAUGAUCUGCCUGCCUCGGCUUCCCAAAGUGCUGGGAUGACACUGAGCCACCGCGCCUGGCAAGGAGUCUCGCUCUGCUCUUCCAGUUUGAAUAUCACGCAGGCUGGAGCGCAGUGGCGCAAUCUCGGCUCACUGCAACCUCUGCCUCCUGGGUUCAAGCAAUUCUGCCUCAGCCACCCGAGUAGCUGGGAUUACAGGCACACGCCACCAUGCCCGGCUAAUUUUUGUAUUGUAUUAGAGACAGGGUUUCACCAUGUUGGCGAGGCUGGUCCCGAACUCCUGGCCUCAAGUGAUCUGCCCGCCGUCCGCCUCAGUGUCCCGAGGUGCUGGGAUUACAGGUGUGAGCCACCGCACCCAGCAAAAGUGCUUUCUCGAGAUGGAAUCUGCGCCUGGUGAAGAUGCUCUAAACAUUGCUGAGAUAACAAAGGAUUUAGAAUAUUCCAUAAACUUCGUUGGUACAGCAGCGAUAGGGUUCGAGAGGAUUUUCCAGUUGUGAGAGAAGGUCUGCUGUGGACAAAAUGCUACCAAACAGCAUCGCGUGCUACGGAGAAAUCUUUUGUGAAAGGAAGAAGCUCAAUGUGGCCAGCUUUAUUGUUGUCUUAUUUUAAGAAAUUGCUGGCCGGGUGUGGUGGAGAAUCACUUGAACCCAGGAGGCAGAGGUUGCAGUGAGCCGAGAUCACGCC